UACGAAGGGGGCUAGCGUUGUUCGGAAUUACUGGGCGUAAAGCGCGCGCAGGCGGCUAUCCAAGUCAGUGGUGAAAGCCCGGAGCUCAACUCCGGAACUGCCAUUGAAACUGUUUAGCUUGAGGACGAGAGAGGUGAGUGGAAUUCCCAGUGUAGAGGUGAAAUUCGUAGAUAGUUGGGAAGAACACCGGUGGCGAAGGCGGCUCACUGGCUCGUAUCUGACGCUCAGGCGCGAUAGCGUGGGGAUCAAACAGG
rnacentral:rRNA from 1 species